rnacentral:snRNA from 1 species
AGUUUUGCGCAGUGGCAGUAUCGUAGCCAAUGAGGUUUAUCCGAGGCGCGAUUAUUGCUAAUCUAAAGUCAAGACCACAC